AACGAACGCUGGCGGCAGGCCUAACACAUGCAAGUCGAACGCUCCGCAAGGGGAGUGGCAGACGGGUGAGUAACACGUGGGAAUCUUCCUAUUGGUAUGGAAUAGCUCAGGGAAACUUGGGUAAUACCGUAUAAGCCCGAGAGGGGAAAGAUUUAUCGCCAAUAGAUGAGCCCGCGUCUGAUUAGCUAGUUGGUGAGGUAAUGGCUCACCAAGGCGACGAUCAGUAGCUGGUCUGAGAGGAUGAUCAGCCACACUGGGACUGAGACACGGCCCAGACUCCUACGGGAGGCAGCAGUGGGGAAUAUUGGACAAUGGGCGCAAGCCUGAUCCAGCCAUGCCGCGUGAGUGACGAAGGUCUUCGGAUUGUAAAGCUCUUUUGGCGGGGACGAUAAUGACGGUACCCGCAGAAUAAGCCCCGGCUAACUUCGUGCCAGCAGCCGCGGUAAU
rnacentral:rRNA from 1 species